rnacentral:rRNA from 1 species
AUUGAACGCUGGCGGCAGGCCUAACACAUGCAAGUCGAACGAGUGGCGGACGGGUGAGUAAUGUCUGGGAAACUGCCUGUUGGAGGGGGAUAACUUCUGGAAACGGUAGCUAAUACCGCAUACCAUCAGAUGUGCCCAGAUGGGAUUAGCUUGUUGGUGGGGUAACGGCUCACCAGGGCGACGAUCACUACCUGGUCUGAGAGGAUGACCAGCCACACUGGAACUGAGACACGGUCCGGACUCCUACGGUAGGAAGCGGAGGGGAAUAUUGCACAAGGGGCGCAAGCCUGAUGCGGCAAUGCCGCGUGUAUGAGGAGGGCCUUCGGGUUGUAAAGUACUUUCAGCGGGGAGGCGUUACCCGAAGAAGAAGCAACGGCUAACUCCGUGCCAGCAGCCGCGGUAAUAC